rnacentral:rRNA from 1 species
AUUGAACGCUGGCGGCAGGCCUAACACAUGCAAGUCGAGCGGAUGAAGGGAGCUUGCUCCUGGAUUCAGCGGCGGACGGGUGAGUAAUGCCUAGGAAUCUGCCUGGUAGUGGGGGAUAACGUCCGGAAACGGGCGCUAAUACCGCAUACGUCCUGAGGGAGAAAGUGGGGGAUCUUCGGACCUCACGCUAUCAGAUGAGCCUAGGUCGGAUUAGCUAGUUGGUGGGGUAAAGGCCUACCAAGGCGACGAUCCGUAACUGGUCUGAGAGGAUGAUCAGUCACAGUGGAACGGAGACACGCUCCAGACCCCUACGGGAGGCAGCAGUGGGGAAUUUUGGACAAUGGGCGAAAGCCUGAUCCGGCCAUGCCGCGGGUGUAAGGAAGGUCUUGGAAUUAUAAAGCAUUUUAAGUGGGGAGAAAGGGCAGUAAUUUAAUACCUUGUUUUUUUGACGUUACCAACAAAAAAAACCCCGGCUAACUUCGUG